rnacentral:rRNA from 1 species
AUUGAACGCUGGCGGCAUGCCUUACACAUGCAAGUCGAACGGCAGCACGGGUGCUUGCCCCUGGUGCCGAGUGGCGAACGGGUGAGUAAUACAUCGGAACAUGUCCUGUAGUGGGGUAUAGCCCGGCGAAAGCCGGAUAAAUACCGCAUACGAUCCACGGAUGAAAGCGGGGGACCUUCGGCCCUCGCGCUAUGGGGUGGGCCGAUGGCUGAUUAGCUAGUUGGUGGGGUAAAGGCCUACCAAGGCGACGAUCAGUAGCUGGUCUGAGAGGACGACCAGCCACACUGGGACUGAGACACGGUCCAGACUCCUACGGGAGGCAGCAGUGGGGAAUUUUGGACAAUGGGCGAAAGCCUGAUCCAGCAAUGCCGCGUGUGUGAAGAAGGCCUUCGGGUUGUAAAGCACUUUUGUCCGGAAAGAAAUCCUUGACUCUAAUACAGUCGGGGGAUGACGGUACCGGAAGAAUAAGCACCGGCUAACUACGUG